CGUUGCCCUUGGUUUGUAUCAACUUAGGCUAAACCCACGUCUGCCCAGCCCAGGAAGGAAUGGCCCUCCCAGGGGCAAGCCUGGGCAGCUGAGAUGGAGCUGCACAGCCUCUGGAGGCCCCCAAGCACUUAGAGGACAACCUGGAGACAUUGCAUCAGCUUAAUUGCAAGAUUAAAUGAACAUGCCCCACAGUGCUGACCUCGUGUACCUGAGAUCUGGACCUGUGGAAAGUGCUACAGCUCAACUUUUACUACAACAGGCAUCCCAUCUUUUCCUCUGCAGCCUAAUUGUGAAGGACAGGUGAUUCUGUUCGGUUCUAGUUUGAUGCUCCACACAGAGGAACUGUGGUGUAACUGGGACUGUUCCAGGCUGGGGAACUGGAUGUCUAUGCUCUUACCCUCCCCUGAAGCUUGCUGUGGGCUUGAUGUGAGUCCUGGCGGCUUCUCACCUGCAGAGAUGUGUUUCUCCAAUUUGAGUGACUGCCCACUGGAACAGUUUCCAUCCGUCUGCAUGCAAAGAGCUCUACGCAUCACGCAUGUGUGGCAUUAUGUGAGAGUGUGUCACAUGGUACUCUGCCAUUCAACUGUUUCUGCAACCACUUCUGACUCCAACAAAAUAGUUGCUAAAUAA
rnacentral:lncRNA from 1 species